rnacentral:lncRNA from 1 species
CCGAACUCCACCCCAUCCUGUUUCUUCCAUGCCGAAUCUCCCAACGUCUUUCUUCUUUCGAUCAAAUCCCCUAUUCUGCAUCCAAAAAAUCCUCUGCUUCCUUUCUUAGUUCAGCCUCAUCUCGGUCGUGAUUCACCUUCAUCCCGCAUUGUUUCGAUUCGACUUUAUCUUCCCAGGAUUCACAGCAUCCAAACUUCCUCCCUUCCGUAUCUUCAUUUCCAAAAACCUCCACGGAUCACGUCCACAAAUAGAAUCCCUUGUUUCAAAAUUCCAUCCUCUUCCAGCUUUCCGUGAGCCAAUCCACAUCAUCCCAGCUCCCGUAUCUUAUUGCUUCCCAACCAAAACCAAAUCGGAACAGAGUAUCCCAACCUCCUUCCGGAUUCGCCUUCUCAGCGGUUCUCUGUGAUUUAUCCAAAUCCCUUGCUUCCAGCUGCUUCAUCCUCUCAAACGCCCGCGUCUUGCAUCCGAAUCCCCUAUUUCACGGUCAGCCAUCGUCCGGAUUAAUCCCAGUAUAUCUAUGGAUAAUCUCCGAACUGAUUUACCUCCCAGAUUUCAUCUGCAUCACCCAAAGAUCUCUUCCCAUCUCGUGAUCAUCAAAGGAUCUCGUUUCAGCCGAUUCCCAGACUUCAUCCUCCCGAGUCCCGAGCUUCACGACAACCAAAUGUGUCUUCCCCUGUUUCGGAAACAGAACACAGGCAUCUUUCCACUUCGUGGAUCACUCCCUUCCAAGUUCAUCGCAGCGUCCGUGAGUAUCUCCUAGAGUCUUCGGAUCCAGCUCUAACUUCUACCGCGUCCGGAUCUUCCGCGGCCAACAAAUCCCAUCUCCAUCCAGCCGCUUUCAUCCUUAUCCCCUGCUUGAAAGAUAGAGUCCAUCUUCCCGCAUCCAGCUGUUCACCAAGGUUCCAGAUUGAUUCCAAAGGGGGGCGGGUGAAGGCUAUAAAAGGGAAGCAAUGCAUGAAGAUGAGGGCAUUCGGAAGGAGGGAGCCGGCUGGUCCCAAGCUCUCACAGGCCAAAUCCCACGGGAAGAAAGAAACAAAGAAGGGAGAGAAGAUUUUUGGUUAUUUUGGGAAUGACUUCCCAUAAGAGUUAAG